GAUGCUCUCAAUGGUCUACUUUCA
rnacentral:siRNA from 1 species